AGUGUCACGCCGGCAUGAACGGAUUACUUUGAUGAGGUUAAAUAUGAGAAUAUCUCUGACACUU
rnacentral:tRNA from 1 species